rnacentral:lncRNA from 1 species
CAGCAUCAUGGCACAUGCCUCUAGUCCCAGCUACUCGGGAGGCUGAGGCAGGAGAAUCACUUGAACCCAAGAGACGGAGGUUGCAGUGAGCUGAGAUCGUGCCACUGCACUUCAGCCUGGGUGACAGAGCAAGACUGUCUCAAAAAGAAAAAAAAAUUUUUUUUUAAAGAGGAAAAAAAGGAAGUUGCAAAUGAUACUAUGAUUACAUUUUUGUUAAAAUAAUUGUUAGUAUAUUAUAUGUAAUAUAUUAGUAAAUUGUGAAGAAAUUUACAGGAGGGCACUGGAUUGUAGGAGUCUUUCAGGUUUUACUUUAUAUAAGUUUUACAAUAAUCACUAAAUUUUUUUUUUUUUUAAACAGAGAUGGCAUUGCCCAGGCUGCUCUUGAACUCCUGGGCUCAAGUGAUCCUCCUGACUCAGCCUCCCAAAGUGCUGGGAUUACAGGCAUGAGCCACCAUGCCCAGUCACUGACUUUUUUAAUCAUAAAAAGUAAUUUAUAGCCGGCAUGGUGGAUCAGGCCUGUAAUCCCAGCACUUUGGGAGGCCGAGGUGGGCGGAUCACAAGGUCAGGAGUUCGAGAGCAACAUGAUCAACAUGGUGAAACCCCAUCUCUACUAAAAAUACAAAAAUUAGCUGGGUGUGGAUGUGGUGGCAGGCGCCUGUGAUCCCAGCUACUUGGGAGGCUGAGGCAGGAGAAUCGCUUGAACCUGGGAGGCAGAGGUUGCAGUGAGCCAAGAUUGUGCUAGUGCACUCUAGCCUGGGUGACAGAGCAAGACUCCGUCUCGAAAAAAAAAAUGUAUAAAAUAUAAAAACCAUGUAAGAACAUUACAGAUGACUAUAUUAGCUUCUAAUCAGAAGAGCAAACACUUUUUGUUUUUGAGACAGAAUUUUGCUCCUGUUGCCCAGGCUGGUGUGCAAUGGCGUGAUCUCAGCUCACUGCAACCUUCGCCUCCUGGGUUCAAGCAAUUCUCCUGCCUCAGGCUCCCCAGUAGCUGGGAUUACAGGUGCCCACCAUCACGCCCGGCUAAUUUUUGUAUUUUUAGUAGAGACAGGGUUUCACCAUGUUGGUCAGGCU